AUCGUCUUAUCGUUUUUCUCUGCUUUCUUUCUUAUUUGUUUUUUUUGUAGUUACUAGUUAGGUAUUCCGAUAUCCGUAUUAUUAUCGGGUUCUAUGACUCUGGUAUUAUGCUUUCUCGUUAUAACAUUUUUUCUCAUUAUAACGAUUACAAUGUUUUUUGGUGGUAUUAUCAGCCAACGUAAAGAAGACAAAAAAGGUGUGAUUUGUUUUGCUUCCACAAUAUUAGGUAGUACUUCCUAUGUGAAAGUACAACUCCUUAUAUACCUAAGUAAGUCCUAAAAGGGAAUUUAAGAGGAAAUUAUGUGAAAAUUCUAUAUUACAUCAUUUUUAUGGAGCUUUAACAUGUCAGUCUUCACUGAGUUGUAUUGGUUUUAGAUGUUUUAUGUUUUAUUGAUUUAGUUAUAAUAAAAAUAACACUGAACAGCAAGAAGAACUCAGCAGCAUGGAAAGCUGGACUUUUUUAGGUUAACAUUCUCCAAAGUAGCUAGUCUACUAUUCCUUCAGUUCAAGAGAUUCAAAUUUAGUUAGCUGAUCCACUGCAGGUUUUGCCAAUUGGUCCUGUUUUUUUAUGCAAACUGCUUCAUGAUAGGGGGGAUUUAUGGGUAUCUGUGUUGGUGGCCUAACAGGUAACAACAGAAAUUUGAAAGGUAAGAAAGAGUUAGCAUCCUACAUCACUAAGCAAUUUUCUUUACUACCUGAAUUUAUAUUCUGUAUCCAAAGGAUAACUCAUAUCAGAGUCAUAUGCACUAAGAUCACCACAUGCCAAAAAAGGCACAAUCACUCUGUUGGGCCCUUCCCAUUCAUUCCAGUCACAAUACUGAUGAUCCAAAAGUGGAUUCGACAUGUUUGGGAUAUAACCACUUGGAGGAGCAUAAUUUUGGCAGACAACAAAGGCUUCUGCAAACAGGAGAACUAAAGUAAAUAUCACUGUUGAAAAGUGAUUAGUUUUUAGAUCCCCAACACACCUAUACUGGAAUUUCUGGAACUUGUUGGUUUUGCCACAGUAACUUUAGGAAAAAAUAUUCUGAGUUGUGAGUAGAGUAAUGUUAUGUCUCGUCCCCUAAAGAUCUUGGCAACAAAUACACCACCCUCUUUAAGAA